GAUGGAAGAACGCAGCGAAAUGCGAUACGUAAUGUGAAUUGCAGAAUUCAGUGAAUCAUCGAAUCUUUGAACGCAUAUUGCGCUCUUUGGUAUUCCGAAGAGCAUGCUUGUUUGAGUAUCAGUAAACACCUCAAAGACUUCAAUUUGUUUUGAAUGGCUUUGGACUUGAGCAAUCCCAACACCAGUCUUUACGAUCGGUGGAGGGUUGCUUGAAAUGCAGGUGCAGCUGGACAUUCUCCUGAGCUAAAAGCAUAUUUAUUUAGUCCCGUCAAACGGAUUAUUACUUUUGCUGCAGCUAACAUAAAGGGAGUUUGACCGUAUUGGCUGACUGAUGCAGGAUUUCACAAGGGUCGGCAACGAUUCUUGUAAAACUCGAUCUCAAAUCAAGUAAGACUACCCGCUGAACUUAAGCAUAUCAAUAAGCGGAGGA
rnacentral:misc_RNA from 1 species